rnacentral:misc_RNA from 1 species
GUUGAAGAAACGUAGCAAAAUGCGAUAAGUAAUGUGAAUUGCAGAAUUCAGUGAAUCAUCGAAUCUUUGAACGCACAUUGCGCCCGCUGGUAUUCCGGCGGGCAUGCCUGUUCGAGCGUCAUUUCAACCCUCAAGCCCCCGGGUUUGGUGUUGGGGAUCGGCUCUGCCCUUCUGGGCGGUGCCGCCCCCGAAAUACAUUGGCGGUCUCGCUGCAGCCUCCAUUGCGUAGUAGCUAACACCUCGCAACUGGAACGCGGCGCGGCCAUGCCGUAAAACCCCAACUUCUGAAUGUUGACCUCGGAUCAGGUAGGAAUACCCGCUGAACUUAAGCAUAUCAAUAAGCGGAGGA